rnacentral:SRP_RNA from 1 species
GCUGGAUGCAGUGGUGCACAAGUAUAGUACCAGCUGCUUGGGAGGCGAGAGGAUCACUUGAGCCCUGGAGUUCUGGGCUGUGGUGUGCUAUGUGGAUCAGGUGUACAUUCUAUGGUGACCUCCUGGGAGCAGAGGACCACCAGGUUGCCUAAGGAUCUGUGAACCAGCCCAGGUCGGAAAUGGAGCAGGUCAGAACUCCUGUGCUGAUCUGUAGUGGGAUGGUGCCUGUGAAUAGCCACUGCACUCCAGCCUGGCAACAUAAUAAGACCCCAUCUCU